rnacentral:rRNA from 1 species
UAAGCCAUGCAUGUGUCAGUACAGGCCGCUCUAAGGCGAAACCGCGAAUGGCUCAUUAAAUCAGUUAUGAUUCAUUUGAUCUCACUCCCAUUACUUGGAUAACCCUGGUAAUUCUAGAGCUAAUACGUGACAACAACUACUCCGACUGGAAGGGAGGAGUGCUUUUAUUAGAUGAAAACCAAUCGGGCCUCGGUCCGCCAAACACAAACUGUGCUGAUUCUGAAUAACUUUGUGCCGAGAGCAUGGUCUCCGCGCCGGCUCCGUAUCUUUCGAGUUUCUGCCUUAUCAUGCUGUGGAUUGUAGGCCAUGCGCCUACUGUGGCUGUUACGGGUGACGGGGAAUCAGGGUUCGAUUCCGGAGAGGGAGCCUGAGAAACGGCUACCACAUCCAAGGAAGGCAGCAGGCACGCAAAUUACCCAAUCCCAGCUCUGGGAGGUAGUGACGAAAAAUAACAAUGCGGGACUCUUCCGAGUCUGCGUAAUUGGAAUGAGCACACUUUAAAUCCUUUAGCAACAACCAAUUGGAGGGCAAGUCUGGUGCCAGCAGCCGCGGUAAUUCCAGCUCCAAUAGCGUAUA